rnacentral:rRNA from 1 species
AUGGCUGAGAUCGAGGCUUUCGAUUAUCCCGAUGAGCUCUGGCACCCGGAGGGGGCAGACUACUUCUUCUCCCACCUUGGUGACUUUGUCUCUGCCGACCAACACUGCUUCCAGGGUGACCACUCUAGCGUUCACGCGCUCGUCAUGGUUGCCUGCGAUUUUGUCCUCCCUCCAUGCCUCACGGUGCGUCUCCCUGACAACGACAUCGUCGUUGUCAAGUUGGAGAGCCGCGCGCUCUUCCGUCACGGCUCCGGGGCAUCGCCCUUCAGCUCUGAGGACGGGGACGACGGCUCCCUAUCCUCCCUCUCAUCAAACCCUCGCCUCUCUCCCUCCACUGUUACUCAAAUCAGGAACACUGCCAUGGCCAUGUCACCAUUUGCAUGCACCCCGGAGUCGCCCUUGGGCCCUCCCCCAUCUCCUACUGCUAACAGGCCGCUCGACGACAUCCCAAUCCUCGCAGUCAUGGCUGACGGCAUGCCUGUUGCCAUGCUUGUUCAUGCCCCAUGGACCCCUCCCGCUCGCUCCCCCUCUCCACAGAAGCUGCACGCUCGCUCGCGCCAUGCACGUCCCCUGCUUGCACUGCCAGCCCCACCAUCUCCACUUCCUCUGCCACCUACGCCGCCUCCUCCACCAUCCCCACCUGCCCUUCAGCCGCUCCCCCUUCCUGUGGAUCUCUCCGCCCAGCCACUGGAUCUGCCCCCAGAGCCUACGCACGAGUGCCUUGCCAGGCGCAUCAGCAGGCGCGCCAAGAUGGCUGCUGACUCCGGCAUCAAGGCUAGACGCAGCGCUAGGCUGGCUGAAAUAGAGCCGCCUAUCUACUCCAUGACCUCCAAGGCCAUGCGCUCCAAGGCAAAGAAGCUCGACCUAUCUACUACUUCCAAGGACCUCUCCGACGCCCUGAUCCACGCUCGGCUCUGUGACGACUCUGGGCUCAUCGACGGCUUUGCGCACGGUCCUGCCUCGCCUGAGGACCCGGCCGCCGUCGCUGCUGCCUGCGGCGCCACGCCAGAGAUGCCGGCGGACCUCGCUUCCGGUUUUGGUGGCCUGGGAUCGCCAUGA